rnacentral:tRNA from 1 species
UCGGGCAGUAGCGCAGCCUGGUAGCGCACUUCACUGGGGGUGAAGGGGUCGUCGGUUCAAAUCCGGCCUGCCCGACCAA